GCGCCUGUGGCUUAACGGAUAGAGCAUCAGAUUCCGGUUCUGACGGUUGGGGGUUCGAAUCCCUUCAGGCGCGCCA
rnacentral:tRNA from 1 species